AAUCCUGCAGCAUCAAUAGGACUGUACAUUGACUGUGGCUCGAUAUAUGAGUCACCAGAUACAUGUGGAGCCACCCAUCUCCUGGAGAGAAUGGCCUUUAAAAGUACAAGAAACCGCAGUCAUUUGCGUGUAGUGCGAGAAGUGGAAGCAGUUGGGGGUGUUGUGCAAGCCUCAGCAUCUCGUGAGCAAAUGGGAUACACUUUUGAUGCUCUGAAGACUUAUGUACCUGAGAUGGUGGAGCUGCUAAUUGAUAGUGUGAGGAACCCUGUCUUCCUAGAUUGGGAGGUCAAUGAACAGGUAAAUCUUCAUCUCCUGUUUCACAGUACAUCAGAUUAUAUUUUGUUAGUGCUGUACAUCUUAUGAUUUAUUUUGUUCAUUUUUCAGCUUCAGAAGGUGAAAUCUGAGAUUAGCGAAGCUUCUAAUAAUCCACAUGGCUUACUCUUGGAAGCAGUUCACUCAGCUGGUUUUUCUGGUGCACUGGCAAAUCCUCUUUUAGCUCCAGAAUCUGCAAUAAACAGACUGAAUGGUACACUCUUGGAGGAGUUUGUCGCUGUAAGUCUCAGAAGUUCUGCUCUCACCUUCAAUGAAAUAGCUGCUUGUGUCCUCGAGAAAAUUGUAGGUUGAAAAAUGUCUAUUGAUUUCGAACCUUUAGGAAAAUUAUACUGCCUCACGGAUGGUACUUGCGGCUUCUGGUGUUGAUCAUGAGGAACUGGUAUCCAUUGCUGAGCCUCUUCUGUCUGACCUACCUGAAAUUCCAAGGAACUCUGAGCCUCAAUCUGUUUAUACUGGAGGUGACUUCCGUUGUCAAGCAGGCUCAGGGGUAUGUAUCAAAGACACAUGCCAAUGUUUUAUCAACAUAUGUUAUUUAGCCGUCUAAACUUUUUUUCUUUGUGAAUUUUUGUUUUUGCAACUGCAGACAUGUGGAGCCACCCAUCUCCUGGAGAGAAUGACCUUUAAAAGUACAAGAAACCGCAGCCAUUUGCGUGUAGUGCGAGAAGUGGAAGCAGUUGGGGGUGUUGUGCAAGCCUCAGCAUCUCGUGAGCAAAUGGGAUACACUUUUGAUGCUCUGAAGACUUAUGUACCUGAGAUGGUGGAGCUGCUAAUUGAUAGUGUGAGGAACCCUGUCUUCCUAGAUUGGGAGGUCAAUGAACAGGUAAAUCUUCAUCUCCUGUUUCACAGUACAUCAGAUUAUAUUUUGUUAGUGCUGUACAUCUUAC
rnacentral:lncRNA from 1 species